GACGUAGGGCGCGAGCGUUGUCCGGAUUUAUUGGGCGUAAAGAGCUCGUAGGCGGCUUGUCGCGUCGACUGUGAAAACCCGCGGCUCAACUGCGGGCCUGCAGUCGAUACGGGCAGGCUAGAGUUCGGUAGGGGAGACUGGAAUUCCUGGUGUAGCGGUGAAAUGCGUAGAUAUCAGGAAGAACACCAGUGGCGUAGGCGACUAACUGGGCCGUAACUGACGCUGAGGAACGAAAGCCAGGGGAGCGAAUGGG
rnacentral:rRNA from 1 species